rnacentral:lncRNA from 1 species
CAUCUCUGCUCUAUAGUAUGGAAAGAUGUUUUCUUCAGAGCCAGAUAAUUCUUUAUAAAGGUCUCUCCUAUUACAUCUCUGCUCUAUAGUAUGGAAAGAUGUUUUCUUCAGAGCCAGAUAAUUCUUUAUAAAGGUAUCUCCUAUUCUUUUCCUUCUCUUUUCCUUCUCUUGCCUUUGCUCACUAGACGAACCCAGCCUAAGCCGUAACUGUUAUAACAUCGCCACCUUUGCUGCUUUUUCAGUGGUUGGACAUUAUACAAAGAAAGAUUGACGAACACAAAGAGAAUAAAGUAUAGUAAAAGAAUGCACGUAUCCAAGAUAACUAGGCUUUCUAUCUAACUAAUUUUGUAACAGUGCUCCGUAGCACCGAUACAUUUUACCUUUUCUCUGCUACCAGAUAAACGUUUUUGUUUCUUAACAAGAACGCUUUAUUAAUUUGUUUUACUGGUUUGUUUUACUGACAUCUUUUUCAUUUCUUUUUGGCGCUUCCUCUACUCUUUCCUGUACUACAAGGCCCUCUUUUGCCACCUCGUGCUUUUGCUUCUCUCGCCCACAGCCCACUCAAAGAUGUACCAUAAGGCGCCCAUUGGACAAAUCAAACCACAGCCGCAGCUGACAUAGCACUGGCGCUUUUGCCUCUCUUUCAAAAUAAGGUCGACGAGCCUAAACAUACCAAAGUAUAGGAGAUUAAUUGCCGAAUACAAGAAGAAAAUACCUAAUAUUAACAUAAAAGGUAUUUAAAA